GGGUCAGUAGCUCAAUUGGCAGAGCAGCGGUCUCCAAAACCGCAGGUUGUAGGUUCGAGUCCUACCUGGCCCG
rnacentral:tRNA from 1 species